rnacentral:rRNA from 1 species
GGACUACUGGGGUAUCUAAUCCUGUUUGCUCCCCACGCUUUCGUGCCUCAGUGUCAGUGUUGGUCCAGGUGGCCGCCUUCGCCACAGAUGUUCCUCCCGAUCUCUACGCAUUUCACUGCUACACCGGGAAUUCCACCACCCUCUACCGCACUCUAGCGAGCCAGUAUCCAAUGCCAUUCCCAGGUUGAGCCCGGGGAUUUCACAUCAGACUUAACUCACCACCUACGCACGCUUUACGCCCAGUAAUUCCGAGUAACGCUUGCACCCUUCGUAUUACCGCGGCUGCUGGCAC